rnacentral:tRNA from 1 species
GGGCGAGUGGUGGAACUGGUAGACACGCUAGACUCAAAAUCUUGUGGCAGCAAUGCCGUGAGGGUUCAAGUCCCUCCUCGCCCACCA